UACAGAUGAAAAUAGACAGUCUUCUUCUUCGAUGGAUUCUGCUAUGUAUUCAUAUGGGGAUGAUGCAUAUUCUCCAUUUGGAUCACCACCAAAACCUAAGACGAAACAGGUUGUGCCAAAUGUGGAACCAGAACUCUUGCAUUUAGUAGACUCUGCUAUUAUGGGAAAGCCUGAAGGAUUGGACAAGCUGAAAAAUGUUGUAAGUGGUGUUGAGAGUUUUGGAACUGGAGAUGAUGCUGACUCUAUUGCAUUUCUGGUAGUUGAUUCACUUCUUGCCACUAUGGGAG
rnacentral:misc_RNA from 1 species